rnacentral:rRNA from 1 species
GACGGGGGAUGCAAGUGUUAUCCGGAAUCACUGGGCGUAAAGCGUCUGCAGGUGGUUUCCUAAGUCCACUGUUAAACCUUGAGGCUCAACCUCAAAUCUGCAUUGGAAACUAGGAGACUUGAGUAUAGUAGGGGUAGAGGGAAUUUCCAGUGGAGCGGUGAAAUGCGCAGAUAUCAGGAAGAACACCCGUGGCGAAGGCGGCUCUCUGGGACGGUACUGACGCUGAGACGCGAAAGCGUGGGGAGCGAACAGG